UCUCUCUCCGUGAGUUCUCUCUCUCCCAGACCCUUCUCUCACGCCGCCCUCCUCUCCCUGCUAACCUGCUCCCACCCGCUCUCUCCUCCAACUGGGCUGCUACCGGCGUCGCCCUCUCCAGUGCCGUCCGUGCCUCAGCCACCGCCUGACCCCAAGCACCGCUCCACCAACCCAUGCCGCCGUCGCCGCCGGGCCAGCCGCACCGGGACGACUAUGACUGGGCCUAGGGGUUUUGGGCGCCACGCCGCACACAGGCCGGAGCCGUCCCUCCUCUUCCUACUGAGUGGGAUCCCGAGCAUCAUCAGAGAUCUGAGCAGCAAUGGCCUGGAUCUUGACGGCUUCUCCUGGUCAACGAGGACCCCAGAUCCGUUCGGUGCUAUGGUAGAGAGGCUAAUCCAUGGUGUACCCGUUUAGUGACAGGGCCAUGGAUGGUGCCGUAGUAGGCAUCGUGUUUAUCCAGUGCACAGCUUGAGUCAUGUGCUUUUGUUUGGAUUUUCUCUACUAGCUAUUUCUAUGGACUUAUCUUUCAGCAAAGCAAUUAUCUUUCAACCUGCAGGUUUAUUUUUUGAGCUCCACGAGGACAUGGGUUUGGAGUUAUACUGCAGUAGCUCAUUCAACUUUUAGACAAGACUAAGUUGUUGCAGGCAUCAAGUGAUCUCCAGGCUGUGAGUUUUGUGGAACAAAGGGAUGUGUUGAUCAUUUGCUUCUGUCUUAUUGAAGUGGUUACUCUUGGUGCUGGGUUUGAGAUAGUUUGGGUUCGAGAUAGUUUGGUUUGAAGCUGCUCCAUGUGUAAUUGGACACCUUGGGAAGGCAUUUGAAUGUGCUCUUGGCAGCAGCACUACUUUUUUGUAUCGGUUGAGGGAGGCCUUGGAGGAAGCAAACAUAUAAUAUUUUUCUUUUGAUAAGAUGGAGAUGAGGCAUUUUGUAGUGAAUCUAGUUAGAUUGUGCAAGCAAAUAUAUUAUGACUUGUGCCUGCCAUUUGACCUAGCUAGAUUGUAUGUGUGUUAUUCCUUGUGUAAUGGUGACAUGUCAUGAAUUGUGCAAGCAGACUUGGUAAUGUUGGCUUUAGUGAAAACUUGAGAUAACUUAUCUUA